UACGUAGGGUGCGAGCGUUAAUCGGAAUUACUGGGCGUAAAGCGUGCGCAGGCGGCGCGUUAAGACAGGUGUGAAAGCCCCGAGCUUAACUUGGGAAUUGCGCUUGUGACUGGCGUGCUGGAGUGUGGCAGAGGGAGGUGGAAUUCCACGUGUAGCAGUGAAAUGCGUAGAGAUGUGGAGGAACACCGAUGACGAAGGCAGCCUCCUGGGCCAGCACUGACGCUCAUGCACGAAAGCGUGGGGAGCAAACAGG
rnacentral:rRNA from 1 species